rnacentral:rRNA from 1 species
CCUACGGGAGGCAGCAGUGAGGAAUAUUGGUCAAUGGGCGGGAGCCUGAACCAGCCAAGUCGCGUGAGGGACGACGGUCCUAUGGAUUGUAAACCUCUUUUGUCGGGGAACAAAGGCGCCCACGGGUGGGCGGAUGAGUGUACCCGAAGAAACAGCAUCGGCUAAUUCGGUGCCAGCAGCCGCGGUAAUACGGGGGAUGCGAGCGUUAUCCGGAUUUAUUGGGUUUAAAGGGUGCGUAGGCGGACGGUAACGUCAGCGGUAAAAGCCCGGGGAUAAACCCCGACCCGCCGUUGAAACUGGCAGUCUCGAGUUGGAGAGAAGUAUGCGGAAUGCGCGGUGUAGCGGUGAAAUGCAUAGAUAUCGCGCAGAACUCCGAGUGCGAAGGCAGCAUGCCGGCUCCACACUGACGCUGAGGCACGAAAGCGUGGGUAUCGAACAGGAUUAGAUACCCGGGUAGUC